AGGCAGUGUAGAAUUAGCUGGCU
rnacentral:miRNA from 1 species